CAGGCCAUGAAUAACUUUUAUAGUCAGCAGAUGUUGCCCUCUGCAGCAUGCCAGAAGCAUUUCCACUGCUGUAAAAGGAAAAAAAAGUAUGCAUAAGCUGUCCGGAUCAGACAACCUUCAUAGCACAAUCAAUCGCUUAUAAAAUGAUGCAAAACCAGACGAACACUAGAAAGAAAUGAGCACUGCCUACCUCCCUGAAGUAAGGUUCUUGGUGGCACAGUUGUCUUUGCCAGCCUGCAGUAGAUUUCUUCAUCAGUACAAUUCAGACUGGCCUUUUCCUGUUCACUGAGAAGACCUCCCAUCAAUACAUGGAACAAAUAUACAAUUGGGCUCCAACAGAAAUCUUCCGAGGAGGAGUCAGUCCAAAAGGAGAGAUGAUGACGACUGGAGGGAUGACUUUUUUGAGAGGGCUAUGCCUUGCUUGA
rnacentral:lncRNA from 1 species